CCCGCCUCGCAGGCACCUUAAACCAAUGGGGGAAAUCCUGUCACCGAGCCACUGAAACGGGGAAAAGCCUGCCGUUUCUUUCCCGUUUUCCUUCAUCAUCCUCAAUGCUGAAGAGAUGCUGGUUGCCUGGAAAGGGACUGCUUUUCUUUCAAUGUGCUGUUGAAAGAUUGAUUCAGAUGGACACCUCAAAGUAGCCGGGAUUGCAUUCUGUAAACCGGUUUUCAUAAAUAUACAGUAGAGUCUCACUUAUCCAACACUCGCUUAUCCAACGUUCUGGAUUAUCCAACGCAUUUUUGUAGUCAAUGUUUUCAAUAUAUCGUGAUAUUUUGGUGCUGAAUUCAUAAAUGCAGUAAUUACUACAUAGCAUUACUGCAUAUUGAACUACUUUUUCUGCCAAAUUUGUUGUCUAACAUGAUGGUUUGGUGCUUCAUUUGUAAAAUCAUAACCUAAUUUGAUGUUUAAUAGGCUUUUCCUUAAUGCCUCCUUAUUAUCCAACAUAUUCGCUUAUCCACCAUUCUGCCGGCCCGUUUAUGUUGGAUACGUGAGACUCUACUGUAUGUCUAUUUAGUGUGUUGUCGAAGGCUUCCUUGGCCGAAAUCACUGGGUUGUUGUGCAUAUUCCGGGCUGUAUGGCCAUGUUCCAGAAGAAGCAUUCUCUCCUGACGUUUCGCGCAUAUCUAUGGCAAGCAUCCUCAGGGGUUUGGAAGUACAGUAGAAUCUCACUUAUCCAAGCUAAACGGACCGGCAGAAGCUUGGAUAAGUGAAUAUCUUGGAUAAUAAGGGUGGAUUAAAGAAAAGCCUAUUAAACAUCAAAUUAGGUUAUGAUUUUACAAAUUAAGCACCAAAACAUCAUGUUUUACAACAAAUUUGACAGAAAAUGUAGUUCAAUAGGCAGUGUUGUUAUGUUGCAAUUACUGUAUUUACGAAUUUAGCACCAAAAUAUCACGAUAUAUUGAAAACAUUGACUACAAAAAUGGCUUGGAUAAUCCAGAAGCUUGGAUAAGCGAGGCUUGGAUAAGUGAGAAUGUUGGAAAACCAAGCAAGGGAGGUUUAUGUAUCUGUGGAAGGUCAAGGUGGGAGAAAGGACUCUUGUCUGUUGGAGGCAGGUGUGAAUGUUGUAAUUAAUCGUGUAGAUUAGCAUUCAUGGUCUUGCAAGCUUCAUUCCUGCCUGGGGGAAUCCUUUGUUCUGAGGUGUUUGCUGCCCCUGUUUGAAUCAUAUCUGUAUUUCCGCUGAUUUCUGAGUGUUGUCCUUUGUUUGUGUUCAGAUGAUAGAGUCUUUGAAUUCUGGUAGCCAGAUUUUCUCCAUUUUCAUGGUUUUCUCCUUUCUGUUGAAAUUUUCCAUGUUUGUGGAUUUUAAUGGUUUUUCUGUGUAGUCUGACAUGAUAGUUGUUAGAGUGGUCCAGCAUUUCUGUGUUCUCAAAUAAUAUACUGUGUCCAGGUCCAAGAAGAUCCAACCAGUCCAUCCUCCAGGAAAUGAUGCCCAUCUGCUCACAGGACGGAAAGAUACUAGAGGCAAAGAUGAAGUAUUUUGGCCACAUCAUGAGAAGACAGGAGAGUUUGGAAAAGAUCAUGAUGCUGGGGAAAAUGGAAGGAAAAAGGAAGAGAGGCCGACCAAGGGCAAGAUGGAUGGACAGUAUCCUUGAAUUGACUGGUAUGAACUUGAAGCACCUGGGGGCUGCGAUGGAUGACUGGGAGCUCUGGCAUGGACUGGUCCAUGAGGCCACAAAGACUGUGUGAAUGAAGAAGUAGUAGUCCAGUCUCUUACCGCCUUUCUGGAUGGCAUCUGCUCCGCAGCCAGGCCGGGAUGGGAGGAGGAAGGGCCUCAUUCCAGAUGGAUCACUGGGCACCCUGACCAGGGAAGGAGGUGGACGCACGAUGGAGACAGCAGUCCCAGGAAGAGGAUGGAUCUGAAAAGAGAAAGUUAAAGUCUCUUACCGCCUUUCUGGAUGGCAUCUGCUCCGCAGCCAGGCCGGGAUGGGAGGAGGAAGGGCCUCAUUCCAGAUGGAUCACUGGGCACCCUGACCAGGGAAGGAGGUGGACGCACGAUGGAGACAGCAGUCCCAGGAAGAGGAUGGAUCUGAAAAGAGAAAGUUAAAGUCUCUUACCGCCUUUCUGGAUGGCAUCUGCUCCGCAGCCAGGCCGGGAUGGGAGGAGGAAGGGCCUCAUUCCAGAUGGAUCACUGGGCACCCUGACCAGGGAAGGAGGUGGACGCACGAUGGAGACAGCAGUCCCAGGAAGAGGAUGGAUCUGAAAAGAGAAAGUUAAAGGUCUCCAUUUCUGUGAUCUCAUCGGAGGAGGAGGCCUCCAGAUCUUCCUUUGGAGGACUAGAGAAGAGGAAGAGAAAACAGCAAAACAUUAGUCACAGAACCCUGUGAAGCAAUUUAGAAGGGAAAAAAACAACCAGAAGAGAAGGGGGAAGGGCUUACCUUACAGGGUAUAUUUUAAUACUCCUCCUCCCCCGACAGCAUUUGCAACAAUUUAAACAUAAUUUCUGGAUGUUCUGCAAAAGAGAAAGGAGAACAAGGUUUGUAGGUUGUGUUUCUUCAUCAGUUUGCCUAUGCGGUCAAGGUUGGACUUCUGCAAUGCUAACGAAGAAACACAACCUAGAAACUAUCUACAGACCCACUAAGAAAAUCCAACAAAUGCUCCAUUCAGCAAAGGAGAAGAGGGAUCCUCUCACCUCUGCAGGAGUCUACCGUAUACCAUGCAGCUGUGGACAAGUCUACAUAGGGACCACCAAACGCAGCAUUGCCCAGAAACGAGUCAAAGAACAUGAAAGGCACUGCAGACUAACUCAACCAGAGGAAUCAGCCAUAGCAGAGUACUUGAUGAACCAACCUGGACACAGUAUAUUAUUUGAGAACACAGAAAUGCUUGACCACUCCAACAACUAUCAUGUCAGACUACACAGAGAAGCCAUUGAAAUCCAUAAGCAUGUGGACAACUUCAACACAAAGGAGGAAACCAUGAAAAUGAACAAAAUCUGGCUACCAUUGUUUAAAAAAACCCUCCAAAAUCAGAACAGUAAAUAAGAAGCAGCACUCUGAAAACAGAAGAAUUCCAGACAGAAAUCAAUCAGGGACAGCUAAUGACUCUGAACAAAGGAUUCCCCCAGGCCAGGAUGUGAGGCUGGGAGGGCCAUUUAAUGCUAACAAAGGUUAUUAAUUACAACAUUCACACUGGCCUCCAACAGACAAGAGUUCUUCCCCCCACCUAGGAACUUCCACAGAUAUAUAAACCUUCCUUGCUUAGUUUCUCCAUACCUCACAACCUCUGAGGAUGCCUGCCAUAGAUGUGGGCGCAAUGUCAGGAGACAAUACUUCUGGAACAUGGCCAUACAGCCCGGAAAACACACAACAACCCUUUAGAGAAGCUAUUUUUUUGGUUUUUCUUAUUUUGCAACCUAGUUUUGGUCCCUCUUUUUUGUAAAAUUGUUCUAAUAGUACUUGAAGAAAUGAGAGGAGGAGGAAAAAGAGGAAGAAGUCUUUUGGGUAAUUAACAGACCAUGAGGCAACACAUUAAUAUUUAUUAGAACAAAAUAAAGAAAUCAUCUUAAAUACAAAUAUCAUUAGAAAAAAAUACAAUAAUAUAAAACAUAUGUUAUUUCCGAUAUCACAGUUUGUUGUGGAGUCACAGGCCAAUGCGGGUAUAAUUCAAAAGUAUUAUUUAAUAUCCAUAAAAAUAGUAUGAAAGAUUGAUUACAUUUUAAACUGGAGAACAGAUCCAAAUGCUAUUAAUGUAACAUAAUCUUAUGGGUUUUAACAGCAGAAAAUAAGUUUGCAAAUACUUCCGUUCUCAGAAGCCACCAAUUUCUGUAAAAGGACAGAGGAAUGGAGAGUUGGGAUCCCUCUCUGCAAGAAGUCCAGAUCCAACCCAAAGUGAACUGCUCAGGUAUUCUCAAACUGGUUCGUAAACCUGUUUGGAGCACCGUUUCUUGCGAUAAACCAAAUGACUAAUGAAAUUGUAAUUAUCUUCUGAUUCUCCUUGUGGAGAUUCUUUUUGGUAUGGGCCAUCAUUCCUUUCUAUGAGCCCCAAAUGCAAUAAAAUAGUCCAGAUAUAUACCCCACAGGCUUACUGUGACAAAUAGACUGUAGGGGACAUUCCCCUUACAGAUGGUCCUAUUUUCCAACACAAAUGCUGCUUCCCAGACAUUAAACUGAUUGGAAUAAUCUAAAAUAUGCCUCAUUUUCCAUGAGGAAUCCCAACCUAGCAAAUAAAACAAUAUGUUAUCCAUGUUUCCUGCAAUGCUUCAAAGUGUAGAUGACCAAACAACCAGGUAUCGGCAGGCGGCCCCUUUAAUUUCCAUUCCACCUAAGUCACAGAGACUACAAAAACAACAUUUUAAUUUAAAAUUCAAUUUCUGACUCUGCAUCUUUUCACUGGCACUGCCACAGAGCGGGUAUUUCAUUAAAGGGUUUAAUAGAUUUUGUGAGUUGUUAGAUUCAAAAAGGUUAUGCAUUCUCUCUGCUUCCAGGAUUCAGACAGCAGUCCAGUAAACAAAUUUACCACGAAAAUAGAGGCAGGAUGCUGAAAAGGGGGAGGAUGGACACCCCCAUGGAUAUAGUUAUGUAUGGAGGGGGCAGACCCAUUUGUUCCAUUUACUGAUCAUGUUGACAUCAGGGCUUUUGAAAAAAAGAGUCUGUGAUGAAAUUUAUUUGAAAAGCAUUCCCAAUAAUGACAGAUUUAAAACAAGCUUCUCCAGGACUGAUUGGUAAACUCUUAAAGAACUAGCCAAUGACAAAAACAUCAUAUGGAAACCUGCUGACAAGGGGGGUGCCAUCGUUGCAAUGAACACAACGAAUUAUAUGCAGGAGGUAUAUAGACAACUGUCAGUCAAAGAGCAUUAUUCUCUUGUAGAUAAAGUCCCGACCAAACAUAUUCAAUUCAUCAUAAGAACCAUAAUUCUGGAAGGACUUAGUUUAGAUUAUAUCACAGAAAAAGAAAAAAGAUUUCCUUAUGACCUCACAUCCAUGCAUUCCGGUCUUAUAGACACUACCUAAAAUACACAAAGACAUCAGGCCACCUUUGGGCCGGCCCAUUGUAUCUGGGUCUGGCUCAGUCCUCGAACCACUAUCCAGAUUGGUUGACUCUUUUUUACAGCCCUUUGUCAAACAAACUAUGUCAUAUAUCAAGGACACCAAACAUUUCAUUAACAUCAUAGAGAAACAGAGUAAUAUGGGACAGAUGAGACAAUAGGGGAUAUGCAACCCAAAAUAGAGUUUGGCUACUCUCAACAAAUUCAAGUCUCCAGAGCCAGAUGAACGAUGUCCAUGAAUAUUGAGGGAACUGGCAGAAGUCAUUUCAGAACCACUGGAAAUAAUCUUUGAGAAUUCUUAGAGAACAGGAGAAGUCCCAGCAGAUUGGAGGAAGGCCAAUGUUGUCCCUAUCUUCAAGAAGAGAAAAAAAGGGCGCUAACUAUUACUGUGCAGGCAGCCUGACGUCAAUACCAGGAAGGAUUCUGGAGCAGAUCAUUGAGGAGGCAGUUUGCAACCACUUAGAAAAGAAUGCUAUGAUCACUAAAAUUCCCCAGUGAUUCUCAAAACAGGUCACGCCAGACUAAUCUUAUCUGGGAAAGAGAAAGUUGAGAGGGGACACGAUAGUCUUGUAUAAAUAUUUGAAAGGAUAAGGUAGAGGGAGCAGGCUUGUUUCCUGCUGCCCUGGAGAUUAGAACUCGGAGCAGUGGGUUAAAAAUUACAGGAAAGGAUAUUCCACUUGAUCACUAGGAAGAACUUUCUGACUAUAAGAGCUGUUCAACAUUGGAAUUCACUGCCUCAGAAUGUGGUGGAAGCUCCUGCUUUGGAGGCUUUUAAACAAAGCCUGGAUGGCUAUCUGUCAGGGGUACUUUGUGCUUCUCCUGCAUGGCAGAGGGUUGGACUAGAUGGCACAUGUGGUCUCUUCCAACUGUUCUUACAGAUAAUCUAGGUCUCUGUAACGGAUUGGCCUACCUUGCAGGGUUGGUGUGUCAAGACAGAUCAAGGCCUUAGUAAGAAAGACAAAGCCAGGCAAGGGGAGGAGUGAUCAGGCAGCUCCACUCUAUGGAAGUGCAGUCUGAUUGGUUGGUGCAAUUGGAGGGAUUUGCUUAGCAAGAGGAGGUAGGCAGGGCCAGCAAGACAGGAAUUGCUCUUCAACCAGAAAGCGAGUGAGUUAGGGAUUGGAGUGAGAAGAAUCCGAGUUUGGAGUUUUGAAAAGGAAGGAAGGAAGGUUUUGGGAACUGUUAGUGAGAAAGCUCUUUGAGGGAAAAGUUAAACUAGGGCUAGGAAUUGUAGCGAGCCUCUAUGGGUGAAUAGUGCUUGUGUUAAGAGCCUCUGGAAGAGAGGACUCAAACGUUCAAAAAGCCUGUAAGAAAAUCCCACAGACAGACUACAAAAAGAGGCACAACUAUGUGGCCCAAAUGAUUCAUUGGAACUUAUGCCUCAAGUACCACCUGCCAGCAGCAAAGAACUGGUGGGGUCACAAACUUGCAAAAGUAUUGGAAAAUGAGCAUGCAAAGAUACUGUGGGACUUCUGAAUCCAGACUGACAAAGUUCUGGAACACAACACUACAGACAUCACAGUUGUGCAAAAGAAAAAGGUUUGGAUCAUUGAUGUUGCCAUCCCAGGUGACAGUUGCAUUGACGAAAAACAACAGGAAAAACUAAGCCGCUAUCAGGAUCUCAAGAUUGAACUUCAAAGAUUCUGGCAGAAACCAGUGCAGGUGGUCCCGGUGGUGAUCGGCACACUGGGUGCCGUGCCAAAAGAUCUCAGCAGGCAUUUGGAAACAACAGACAUUGACAAAAUUACGAUCUGCCAACUGCAAAAGGCCACCCUACUGGGAUCUGUGUGCAUCAUCCGAAAAUACAUCACACAGUCCUAGACACUUGGGAAGUGUUCUACUUGUGAUUUUGUGAAACAAAAUCCAGCAUAUCUAUCUUGUUUGCUAUGUCAUACAAUAAUAAUAAUAAUAAUAAUAAUAAUAAUAAUAAUAAUAAUAAUAAUAAUAACCAAGAACUUACUUUUAGCAGUCUCCGGGCAGACAUGUUUGUCUCUGUACAAGACCAGAAGACAAUAGAGAUGGCAACGUUCCGUUUUGUCUUCCUGUCACAGACGGAACCGGUCUGCUUCGGAACUGCAUUCUCAUGACAAUGGUGUAAACCAAGGGGCCCCAGACUCCAGGGAAGUGAUGGCCCCUUUCUGAACCCAUAUACAUUGGGUAGUUGCCCUACCAAAUUAGAAAACAGUGUUAACAAAUUAAAAAACAAUUAGAAGAAAAAAGUGUCCAACGCAUUAUACAUGGCCUCCAAAAUCAUGACCAGAAGACCUCUCGGAAAUCCACUCAUUUGUAAAAAAACAUUCAAGGGUUGCCACAUCCCCUGUCUGUCUGAGAACAGACGCUGGUCCCACCAGUUACAAACACAUAUUUAGUUAUAUCAUGCAAAAGUGAAUGAAACUACCCAAUCUACAGUUGUCUCUGUUGUCCAAGGCCAUCUUUCACCUAUAUAUGUUUUCUCGUUUCUGGCCAUUCCAGUUAGAUAAGCGAGUGUUGGAUAAGUGAGACUACUGUAUCUUUAAGGUUAAUAAAUAGUACAAAGUAUAGUCCCACAUCAUCAGGAGAUUGAACUCCUUUCAAUUUAAACAAUAUUACAAUAACUGUGAAUUGGUCCAAAAGAUUUAAUUCAUAAAGCCAAAAAAGAGAGAUGUUACUCAAACAUGCUGCAUCAAAUAUAUGCUGAGCUCUGUGUUCACAUGUCAGAAGGAAAACACAGUUGAACCAUUGUCUUUUUUUUUUUUUUUUGCCUUUGACGACAAUGUAACUUUUUCUGGGAGAACUACAAUACUUAUCUAUAUAGGCACGUGAGCUGAAUGUUGCAUUGUGGUACUCUGCACUUUUAAACCCCCCUUAUAAUAAUAAUAUAAUACAUUUUAUUUAUACCCCACCCCCUCUCCCCAAAGUGACUUGGGGAGACUUCCUGAUCUUCAAUAAGCUGUUCCUUUCGUCUUUAUCAAGAAGCUCACAAAUUGCUUGUUCUUGAAGUGGGUGUCCUGGUCAAAGUUUAGUUAUUUUUCAAAGUUGGUUUAUAGCAUCUACAUUUACCGCUAGGAGAGAUCAUCUGGAGGCAUGGGGCAGGGGGCUAUCAGUAUGCUGAUGACACCCAAAGAUGUUUCUCCAUGCCAUGAAAAACACUGUUAUCUCAGGAUAGCGGGUCUCCUUGGAAUGAAUGCCUGGAGGAAGUAAUGGGCAGGAUGAGGAGAAACAAAUUGAAACUGAAUCCAGACAAGACAUCGAGAGCACUAUGGGUGGAUCAACCAGUUCUGGAUAGGGUUACACUCCCCAUUAAAGUCUUUGGUCUCAGCUUGUGGGGGGUGCGCCCCUCGAUCCCUCUCUUGAAAUGUAAGAACAGGAAGAUGUGAUGGUCAGGAGUGCUUAGUACCAGCUUCAGCUGAUACGCCAGUUGUGCCCCUUCCAAGAAUUGCAGGACCUUAAGAAGGCUGGAUUCCUGCAAUGCUCUUUACAUUGUGCUGCCUCUGUACCAAGUUUGGAAAUUCCGAUUAGUUCAAAACAAGGCAGGGAAACUAGUUAUAGGAACAUCUAGGAGUGAUUCCACUGGUUUUGGAAAGCCUACCCAGUCUGUUUUAACUAUGGCUUUUACAUCAUAUUCUGUGUUUUUGUAUUUUAAUAUGUGCAUGUUUUAAAAUAUGCACUUCUGGUUGCAUUUAACUUAGCUUUCUUACAUGAUUUCAUAGAUGUAUUUAAUUAGGUUGUGUCUUCCCUCAGGCCACAUAGAGAGGUAAGCAAUAAAUAAAAGAUGAUGAUUAUG